rnacentral:rRNA from 1 species
AUUGAACGCUGGCGGCAGGCCUAACACAUGCAAGUCGAACGAGUGGCGGACGGGUGAGUAAUGUCUGGGAAACUGCCCGAUGGAGGGGGAUAACUACUGGAAACGGUAGCUAAUACCGCAUACCAUCGGAUGUGCCCAGAUGGGAUUAGCUGGUAGGUGGGGUAACGGCUCACCUAGGCGACGAUCCCUAGCUGGUCUGAGAGGAUGACCAACCGCACUGGAACUGAGACACAGUCCAGACUCCUACGUGAGGAAGCAGGGGGGAAGAUUGCACAAUGGGCGCAAGCCUGAUGCAGCCAUGCCGAGUGUAUGAAGAAGGCCUUCGGGUUGUAAAGUACUUUCAGCGAGGGGGCGUUACUCGCAGAAGAAGCACCGGCUAACUCCGUGCCAGCAGCCGCGGUAAUAC